UUUAUUAAUUUAAAUAAAAAGAAAAGAAAAAGAAAAUCCUUAUUUAUAUAUAUUUUUUUCUUUUCUUUUUCUUUUUUUUUCUCUCUUCUUCUUCCUCCGUGCGUCGCGUAACUUUCCGUCCAGAUCUGCGUCACCGUGCCCGGUCCUCGCCGCCGCUCGUGCUUCACCCUUGCAGUUCGCAGUAGCUCAGAUCCGUCGCUGCAACCGUCGGCCGGUUCGUGAAGCCCUGCCGCGCAACCUCUGUUUCCAGCCGCCGCCCAUUCCGUUCUCCUCUGUUUUCUGUACUGCUGCGCGACUCUCCGACCGCGUCUGUCUUCACCUCCGUGAAGUCGUCGACACAUACAUCUUGUGAAGCCCGGUCGCCGCGUCAGAUCGUCGAUCGAUUUUGAGGCAGCCGCCACGUUCCCUUUGGCCGACCGCUGACCGACCCACACUUAGGAUUUUGCUGCGAGUUCGACAGUCGUGCGUUGAGGUGUUGGGAGUAACGUUAGGCUCCCUUACAUUCACAACCAGUUUGUGAGUUGUUGAGGGUUCAGUUCGCCAAUAUAUCGGUGAGUUGGAACUUACGUUGAGGAAAGUAAGUGAGAUAUGUAUCGUGAAAGUAAUUGAAUUUUGUGUUUGUUGUGCUUAGGAUUGUUUCGAGGACGUUAGUUGAUUAAGGAGCUUCCCCAACUUUGAGGUAAGGGAUUUUCUACUGGACCCAAUUGUGAUUGUGAACUGUGAUUGUGAACUGUAUGUGUGUUGAAUGUAUACUGGGGUUGACUGAAAAUAUAUAUGAAUGUAUGUGAAUUGAAGUAGACUUGACGUCGAAUGUAUGUCGUGAUUGUCCUGGAAUCUAUAUAUAAAUGUGUGUAUGUGGACAGGACGGAAAUUGUAGAUUGUGCUUGUAUGAGAUGCAGAUGUGAACUUGUGAUUGUCGUUUAGAUUGGGUGUACGUUACGCUAAAGUAUGACUGUGAGCUGGUGAACUGAGGGGUGUAUUGACUGUAUAGUUGAUUGACUGACGUAUUAGUAUAUUAUUGACAGACAUAUGACUAAAGUGAGAUAAGUUGACUGUUAGGACGUUGAGAGAAAGAACUUUAUGUUUUGAAGUAACUGAAAGAUGGAUUGAAUGGAAUGAGGGGGUAAAUUGUUAGAUUGUAUUGGGAUGUUUACCUUGUAGGUGUCCCACGGGAUCACCAAUUUAUUGUGCACCUUCGGGAGCAUUUGACUGAUAUGUGUUUCUGCAG
rnacentral:lncRNA from 1 species